CCUACGGGGGGCAGCAGUGGGGAAUAUUGCACAAUGGGGGAAACCCUGAUGCAGCGACGCCGCGUGGAGGAUGAAGGUUUUCGGAUUGUAAACUCCUUUUGUUAGAGAAGAUAAUGACUGUAUCUAACGAAUAAGCACCGGCUAACUCCGUGCCAGCAGCCGCGGUAAUACGGAGGGUGCAAGCGUUACUCGGAAUCACUGGGCGGAAAGAGCGCGUAGGCGGGAUAGCAAGUCAGAUGUGAAAUCCUAUGGCUUAACCAUAGAACUGCAUUUGAAACUGUUAUUCUAGAGUAUGGGAGAGGUAGGUGGAAUGCUUGGUGUAGGGGUAAAAUCCGUAGAGAUCAAGAGGAAUACUCAUUGCGAAGGCGACCUGCUAGAACAUAACUGACGCUGAUGCGCGAAAGCGUGGGGAGCAAACAGGAUUAGAUACCCUAGUAGUC
rnacentral:rRNA from 1 species